rnacentral:rRNA from 1 species
CCUACGGGGGGCAGCAGUGAGGAAUAUUGGUCAAUGGGCGAGAGCCUGAACCAGCCAAGUCGCGUGAGGGAGUACUGCCCUAUGGGUUGUAAACCUCUUUUGUCGGGGAGCAAAAGCCAGACGUGUCCGGCUGUGAGAGUACCCGAAGAAAAAGCAUCGGCUAACUCCGUGCCAGCAGCCGCGGUAAUACGGAGGAUGCGAGCGUUAUCCGGAUUUAUUGGGUUUAAAGGGUGCGCAGGCGGAUUUUUAAGUCAGCGGUAAAAUCGUGGGGCUCAACCCCAUCCAGCCGUUGAAACUGGGGAUCUAGAGUGUGCGAGAGGUAUGCGGAAUGCGUGGUGUAGCGGUGAAAUGCAUAGAUAUCACGCAGAACCCCGAUUGCGAAGGCAGCAUACCGGUGCACAACUGACGCUCAGGCACGAAAGCGUGGGUAUCGAACAGGAUUAGAUACCCUUGUAGUC